rnacentral:rRNA from 1 species
AGAACGAACGCUGGCGGCAGGCUUAACACAUGCAAGUCGAACGCCCCGCAAGGGGAGUGGCAGACGGGUGAGUAACGCGUGGGAAUCUACCCAGUUCUUCGGAAUAACACAGGGAAACUUGUGCUAAUACCGAAUACGCCCUACGGGGAAAGAUUUAUCGGGAUUGGAUGAGCCCGCGUUGGAUUAGCUAGUUGGUGGGGUAAUGGCCUACCAAGGCGACGAUCCAUAGCUGGUCUGAGAGGAUGAUCAGCCACACUGGGACUGAGACACGGCCCAGACUCCUACGGGAGGCAGCAGUGGGGAAUAUUGGACAAUGGGCGAAAGCCUGAUCCAGCCAUGCCGCGUGAGUGAUGAAGGCCUUAGGGUUGUAAAGCUCUUUCAGUGGGGAAGAUAAUGACGGUACCCACAGAAGAAGCCCGGCUAACUUCGUGCCAGCAGCCGC